UACGGAGGGUGCAAGCGUUAUCCGGAUUCACUGGGUUUAAAGGGUGCGUAGGUGGGCAGGUAAGUCCGUGGUGAAAUCUCUGAGCUUAACUCAGAAACUGCCGUGGAUACUAUUUGUCUUGAAUGUUGUGGAGGUGAGCGGAAUAUGUCAUGUAGCGGUGAAAUGCUUAGAUAUGACAUAGAACACCAAUUGCGAAGGCAGCUUACUACACAGUUAUUGACGCUGAGGCACGAAAGCGUGGGGGAUCAAACAGG
rnacentral:rRNA from 1 species